rnacentral:rRNA from 1 species
AACAAACGCUGGCGGCGUGCCUAACACAUGCAAGUCGUACGAGAAAGUUGGCUUCGGCCGAUGAGUAAAGUGGCGCACGGGUGAGUAACGCGUGGAUAAUCUACCCUUUAGUCUGGAAUAACUUACCGAAAGGUGAACUAAUACCGGAUAAUAUGCCGAUUUCCCCGGAGAUCGGGAUCAAAGAAGGCUUCUGUUUACAUGCUUUUGCUGAAGGAUGAGUCCGCGUACCAUUAGCUAGUUGGUAGGGUAAUGGCCUACCAAGGUUAUGAUGGUUAGCUGGUCUGAGAGGAUGAUCAGCCACACUGGAACUGAGACACGGUCCAGACUCCUACGGGAGGCAGCAGUGAGGAAUAUUGCGCAAUGGGGGCAACCCUGACGCAGCAACGCCGCGUGAGUGAGGAAGGUUUUCGGAUUGUAAAGCUCUGUCGAGCGGAAAGAAAUGCAUUAUGGCUAAUAUCCAUAAUGCUUGACGGUACCGCUAAAGGAAGCACCGG